ACUCUUCACCGCCCUCUCUCUAUAUAUAGUCUCUAUCCUCACAUAUUAUAUAUCAAACCGCAAGAAUGCUGUAUG
rnacentral:misc_RNA from 1 species